UGUGACUUCUUCAAGUCUUGAGUCAGUGCUCUUGUUUUAAGCACCUGCUGGGGAGCUGCUCUGGGGAGAGACCAGAAAAGAGAAGACCAAGACAGAGAAAAUAGUCUCUAUGUAGUGAAUAGUUUCUUAUUUUUCAGGACUCAACCACACUUCUGUUUCUUUUCUACCGCCAUUGAAAAACCAUUCCAAUCCAACUCUUCUUUCUCAUUUAAAAAGAAAAUGGCCCAAGUUCAAGAACCCAGUUACACAUCAUAACAAAUUCGACCUGAAAAAAAAAAAUAUAUAAAUAUGUGGCUCGUGCACCUGCCUCCUCCAUCCCGGACCCACGGCAGACAUUGCUAAUCAAUCAUGACAUCCUUUUCUCCAUGUUUCUCUGUGACUUCAGACGUCUUCUCAGAAUAGCAUUUUAAGGUAAAAAAUGUGACCUCCUUGACCCCUGCCGGAAGUCCCCAUUCCUUCAGAAUGCCAAGCAAAGAGCAAACCUGCAGAAUUUAUUCACACCAACGUGUAAACAGCUCAUCAUAUCUCCCUGAGUUUGAAGUUGCCAGAUAAGAUUCUGGAUGCCCAGUUAAAUUUGAAUUUGAGGUUCACUAAGAGUGUUGACUGAUGAGAACAAUGAUUUCUUCACCCAACCCAAUGGGAAGCCGUUGGCCUGUUUGAUAGUAAAGACUUUCAGGGGAUGGAGUCUGGAGAUCUAAAGGUUCUAAGGAGCUCUGUGUGUGUUCUGAUGAGCAGUCAGAACAAAGAAGCAUGGUAAGGCAUGGAGAGAAGUGCCCUCUGAGGUCCCAAAGGGCCACAACGGGUCAUUCUACCGCUGACCUUGCAAAAGUGACUUAAUUUGCAUGCAACACAGUUUCUUCACCUGAAAGACUGAGGAAGUUAUCAUGGAAGCAGGCUUCCUGGAUUACUAUGAGGAUUAAAGGAAGUAAGUGCCCCAUACACAGUAGCUGCUUUGAAAUGUCAGCUUUUCUUUUUUCCGAGAGGCGUUGGAUGUAGGAGA